rnacentral:rRNA from 1 species
GUGGGGUAAAGGCCUACCAAGGCGACGAUCAAUAGCUGUUCUGAGAGGAAGAUCAGCCACACUGGGACUGAGACACGGCCCAGACUCCUACGGGAGGCAGCAGUGGGGAAUCUUGGACAAUGGGGGCAACCCUGAUCCAGCGAUGCCGCGUGUGUGAAGAAGGCCUUAGGGUUGUAAAGCACUUUAAUGAGGGAGGAGUAGGGUUCGUUGAAUAGGCGGAUCUGAGGACGUUACCUCAAGAAUAAGCACCGGCUAACUCUGUGCCAGCAGCCGCGGUAAUACAGAGGGUGCGAGCGUUAAUCGGAAUUAUUGGGCGUAAAGGGCGCGUAGGCGGAUAAUCAAGUGGUAGGUGAAAGACCCGGGCUUAACCUGGGGAGGUCCUAUCAGACUGAUUGUCUAGAAUGUGGCAGAGGAAGGUGGAAUUCCUGGUGUA